rnacentral:rRNA from 1 species
AACGAACGCUGGCGGCGUGCCUAACACAUGCAAGUCGAACGGGAAGGCCUUGAGCUAGUACCGUGGCGAACGGGUGAGUAACGCGUGGGUAAUCUACCUUUGGGUGGGGGAUAACCAUUUGAAAAGAUGGCUAAUACCGCAUGAGGCUAUUGGAGGGAGACUUCCGAUGGUGAAAGGGCUUUUAGCCUGUCUGAAGAUGAGCCUGCGUCCCAUUAGUUAGUUGGUAAGGUAACGGCUUACCAAGACGGAGAUGGGUAGCUGGUCUGAGAGGACGAUCAGCCACACUGGGACUGAGACACGGCCCAGACUCCUACGGGAGGCAGCAGUGGGGAAUAUUGCGCAAUGGGGGGAACCCUGACGCAGCAACGCCGCGUGGGUGAUGAAGGCCUUCGGGUUGUAAAGCCCUGUCAGGUGGAACGAACGGUCUAUUUAGGUAGAUGUGACGGUACCACCAAAGGAAGCACCGGCUAACUCCG